GGAAGGAUCAUGGCUCAGUGGUAGAGAGCCUCUGCUUUGCAUGCAGAAGGUCCCAGGUUCAGUUACCUGCAUUUCCA